rnacentral:rRNA from 1 species
GACGAACCGUGCUAACGUUGUUCGGAUUCACUGGGCUUAAAGGGCGCGUAGGCGGGCGGCCAAGUCGGGGGUGAAAUCUUUCAGCUCAACUGGAAAAGAGCUUCCGAUACUGGUCGUCUGGAGGGAGGUAGGGGCAUGUGGAACUUCCGGUGGAGCGGUGAAAUGCGUAGAUAUCGGAAGGAACGCCGGUGGCGAAAGCGACGUGCUGGACCUUUCCUGACGCUGAGGCGCGAAAGCCAGGGGAGCGAACGGG